rnacentral:rRNA from 1 species
GACGAACCGUGCGAACGUUGUUCGGAAUCACUGGGCUUAAAGGGCGCGUAGGCGGGCCACCCAGUCCGGGGUGAAAUCUUUCGGCUCAACCGGAAAAGGGCCUUGGAUACUGGUGGUCUGGAGGAAGGUAGGGGCAUGCGGAACUUCCGGUGGAGCGGUGAAAUGCGUUGAUAUCGGAAGGAACGCCGGUGGCGAAAGCGGCGUGCUGGACCUUUGCUGACGCUGAUGCGCGAAAGCCAGGGGAGCAAACAGG